CAAGAAAAAGAACGCCCAAGAGGAGGCUUCAGCUGCGCAGCUUUUGACAGGACCACCCCCACCCCCUCGGAUCAUCUCCUUCAUACCCUCCCUCCCCAGCCUGAAAUUGAUUUUCUUCAACACCCAAAACAGUUCCUCCAUCGAAGACAUAGACACCACCAAACGCCGACCCCUGUAACCUGCGCCGCUGCUCACCCAAACGACCCUUGAACUUCCGGCAUUGUCUCUGUCCAAACGACCUUCACUUCGUCGGACAUCACUCAACCAGACGAGCUCCCUCGUCAAAACAAAUAAAAAAAAAAAAUUCACUCCUUCACUGCCUAUACACACACGCUCAUUCCCUCCUCACUGUCGUCGGAAUACACACUCAAUUCAUCGCCGGAGAUUAUCAAAAAGCACACACGAGAUAGUAGAGGACAAGUUCUGCAAUUUGAAAGUUCCAAAAUAGAUUUGAAAGAGAAAAAGUUUCUGUUACAUGGUGUCGUUUGAGGCCAGUCCGAGGUCCGUUGUCGAAUUUUGUCGCCGAUUCGAGGCUCCGUCUGAGCCACUGUCAGAUUGGAGUUCUUCCGGCGAAACUCGGUCAGUCCAUUGCUUGCCGAGGGUCUAUUCGUGUUCAGCGCAUAGUGCUGUAUUCUUCUUGUAACCCGUUGGAAGAUCGUUACUAUAUUGAAAGGCUUCAAAGGUCCGUUAUUUUCUUCUUUA